UUAUUAUUAUUUUUUUAUUUUAAUCUCCUUUCAAUGGUGGUGAUAUUACAAUUGAUAUCUUUGGUGGAAGCUGGAACUAUAAAGCACUAAAGCUAUCUGAUAAUGGACUUGGAUGAAUAUUUGAGGCAAGGGUUAUCGACAUGGAAUGGAACAACUUUGCUGGUAUUUGGGUUGGAUUUUGUAUAGGGAAAUCAUUUUUUUUUUUGUUUUAAU
rnacentral:misc_RNA from 1 species